AGAGUUUGAUCAUGGCUCAGAUUGAACGCUGGCGGCAGGCCUAACACAUGCAAGUCGAACGGUAACAGGAAGCAGCUUGCUGCUUCGCUGACGAGUGGCGGACGGGUGAGUAAUGUCUGGGAAACUGCCUGAUGGAGGGGGAUAACUACUGGAAACGGUGGCUAAUACCGCAUAACGUCGCAAGACCAAAGAGGGGGACCUUCGGGCCUCUUGCCAUCAGAUGUGCCCAGAUGGGAUUAGCUUGUUGGUGAGGUAACGGCUCACCAAGGCGACGAUCCCUAGCUGGUCUGAGAGGAUGACCAGCCACACUGGAACUGAGACACGGUCCAGACUCCUACGGGAGGCAGCAGUGGGGAAUAUUGCACAAUGGGCGCAAGCCUGAUGCAGCCAUGCCGCGUGUAUGAAGAAGGCCUUCGGGUUGUAAAGUACUUUCAGCGGGGAGGAAGGUGUUGCGGUUAAUAACCGCAGCAAUUGACGUUACCCGCAGAAGAAGCACCGGCUAACUCCGUGCCAGCAGCCGCGGUAAUACGGAGGGUGCAAGCGUUAAUCGGAAUUACUGGGCGUAAAGCGCACGCAGGCGGUCUGUCAAGUCGGAUGUGAAAUCCCCGGGCUCAACCUGGGAACUGCAUUCGAAACUGGCAGGCUUGAGUCUUGUAGAGGGGGGUAGAAUUCCAGGUGUAGCGGUGAAAUGCGUAGAGAUCUGGAGGAAUACCGGUGGCGAAGGCGGCCCCCUGGACAAAGACUGACGCUCAGGUGCGAAAGCGUGGGGAGCAAACAGGAUUAGAUACCCUGGUAGUCCACGCCGUAAACGAUGUCUACUUGGAGGUUGUGCCCUUGAGGCGUGGCUUCCGGAGCUAACGCGUUAAGUAGACCGCCUGGGGAGUACGGCCGCAAGGUUAAAACUCAAAUGAAUUGACGGGGGCCCGCACAAGCGGUGGAGCAUGUGGUUUAAUUCGAUGCAACGCGAAGAACCUUACCUGGUCUUGACAUCCACGGAAGGUCUCAGAGAUGAGACUGUGCCUUCGGGAACCGUGAGACAGGUGCUGCAUGGCUGUCGUCAGCUCGUGUUGUGAAAUGUUGGGUUAAGUCCCGCAACGAGCGCAACCCUUAUCCUUUGUUGCCAGCGGUUAGGCCGGGAACUCAAAGGAGACUGCCAGUGAUAAACUGGAGGAAGGUGGGGAUGACGUCAAGUCAUCAUGGCCCUUACGACCAGGGCUACACACGUGCUACAAUGGCGCAUACAAAGAGAAGCGACCUCGCGAGAGCAAGCGGACCUCAUAAAGUGCGUCGUAGUCCGGAUUGGAGUCUGCAACUCGACUCCAUGAAGUCGGAAUCGCUAGUAAUCGUGGAUCAGAAUGCCACGGUGAAUACGUUCCCGGGCCUUGUACACACCGCCCGUCACACCAUGGGAGUGGGUUGCAAAAGAAGUAGGUAGCUUAACCUUCGGGAGGGCGCUUACCACUUUGUGAUUCAUGACUGGGGUGAAGUCGUAACAAGGUAACCGUAGGGGAACCUGCGGUUGGAUCACCU
rnacentral:rRNA from 2 species